rnacentral:rRNA from 1 species
UACGUAGGGUGCGAGCGUUGUCCGGAAUUAUUGGGCGUAAAGGGCUCGUAGGCGGUUUGUCGCGUCGGGAGUGAAAACCCCGGGCUUAACUCGGUGCUUGCUUUCGAUACGGGCAGACUAGAGGUAUGCAGGGGAGAACGGAAUUCCUGGUGUAGCGGUGAAAUGCGCAGAUAUCAGGAGGAACACCAGUGGCGAAGGCGGCGAUCUGGGCAGAUACUGACGCUGAGGUGCGAAAGCGUGGGGAGCAAACAGG